rnacentral:rRNA from 1 species
CAGUCGCCGCGGGAAUACGUAGGGUGCAAGCGUUAAUCGGAAUUACUGGGCGUAAAGCGUGCGUAGGCGGUUUAGUAAGUCAGUGGUGAAAGCCCAUCGCUCAACGGUGGAACGGCCAUUGAUACUGCUGAACUUGAAUUAUUAGGAAGUAACUAGAAUAUGUAGUGUAGCGGUGAAAUGCUUAGAGAUUACAUGGGAUACCAAUUGCGAAGGCAGGUUACUACUAAUUGAUUGACGCUGAUGGACGAAAGCGUGGGGAGCGAACAGGAUUAGAUACCCGUGUAGUCCCUGUCUCUUAUAA